rnacentral:rRNA from 1 species
UACGUAGGUGGCAAGCGUUGUCCGGAUUUACUGGGCGUAAAGCGUGCGUAGACGGUUAUUUAAGUCAGGUGUGAAAGCCCCGGGCUCAACCUGGGAAUGGCAUUUGGGACUGCAAGGCUUGAGUGCGGGCAGAGGAGACUGGAAUUCCUGGUGUAGCAGUGAAAUGCGUAGAUAUCAGGAGGAAUACCGAUGGCGAAGGCAGGUCUCUGGGCUGACACUGACGCUCAUGCACGAAAGCGUGGGGAGCAAACAGG